rnacentral:tRNA from 1 species
GCAGUGGUGGUUCAGUGGUGGAAUUCUUGCCUUCCACGCGGGAGACCUGGCUUUGAUUCCCGGCCAGUGCA